rnacentral:rRNA from 1 species
CCCUUAGAUGUUCUGGGCUGCACGCGUGUUACAAUCGGGAGUACAACAAGAUUGCAAAUCCUAGUGGAUGAGUGGUUCUUCGAAAUUUUCUGAAGACUGGGAUAGUUGAUUGAAAUUAUUCAACUCAAACGAGGAAUUCCUUGUAAUUGUAAUUCAUUAUAUUGUAAUGAAUACGUCCCUGCCCUUUGUACACACCGCCCGUCGCUCCUACCGAUUGAACGAUCCGGUGAAUUAUUUGGAGUAGCUCUGGAAGUUGCAGAACUUCCUAUGUCACGAAAUUUUGUAAACCUUAUCGUUUAGAGGAAGGAAGAGUCGUAACA